UACGUAGGGUGCAAGCGUUAUCCGGAAUUAUUGGGCGUAAAGCGUGCGAAGGCUGUUUGGCAAGUUUGAGAUUAAAUCUGGUCGCUCAACGAUCAACUCGUCUCAAAUACUACUAGACUAGAGAAUGACAGAGGCAACUAGAAUUCUGCAUGUAGGGGUAAAAUCCGUUGAUAUGCAGAGGAAUACCAAAAGCGAAGGCAGGUUGCUGGGUCAUUUCUGACGCUGUUGCACGAAAGCGUAGGUAGCGAACAGG
rnacentral:rRNA from 1 species